AGAAAGACCUUCAUCAGUCAUCCUAGCUAAGGAUUUGAGGGAUCGCUCAGAUCUUUUCUGUAGAUACACCCACUCUACUCCUGUUGCUCCCUCUUAGGGAGAGAAGUCUUAGGUUGUAAGCUCCUCUCAAUCCUCCAAAGCUGGGUCUACACUGAGCACCUCCCAUUUUCCCUAAUGCAGUGCUCUGAAGCAUUCAAGGUUGGGCACCUUCUCCCAGUCCAGCAGAGUCAAGCCGGCUGCUCAGAUUUGCAUCUGCCGUUGAGAUCUGUGUACUGUUUGGGAGGAGGGUGCAUGAGACACCAUAUGCUCAGGGGUACGUGGAGUGCUGGGGGCAUGGAUCAGUUGGUUGGGGGGCCCACAGGCAAGUUGUUCUGUGGGUUCAUGGGCGGGCCUCCUGGUGGAGUGUUAGCUGGUUAGUGGGAUCCAUGGCUGGCUGUUGGUUGCUAGGCAUGUCCUUCCCUUCUCCUAGCAGUCCCCAGGUGACUCAGCCAUGCUGAUUCCUCAGUGUUCUGGGGAGAGACACAGGUGGGCUAUUGGGCAGCAUCCUAUAAGGUUGGGGAAGCUGGUGCUCACUCAGCACUCAGUUUCCCCUGUGGGAGAAACCACAGGCCCAGGGGGGCCUCAUUGGAGGAGCACUAGCACAGGUAAACUGAACCUUCUUAGCCUCUUCGGUGUGCUCUCUUUGCCCUGUGGGGUGCUAGAACCUCUCAGUGUUUCUGUGGGGGCAUGAGGGCUGGAACCUCCUAUUCUGUCACCUUCCUGGCCUCUUCCUACAAUUAUUUUUAUGCUCAAAUUGCCCCCGAUUUGGACAGGGGGAGAGCCUUCAGGCUGCUCCUCCAGCCCUCUCACAUGUCCCCAACGUUGUUCAGCAUUUCCUUAUUUUCCAGCACUAGACAUUCUAAGGCUCACCCUGUACUCUCUCUGCUCUUCCCUGGAAAUAGUCAUUUCUCCAAAGAGUUCUGUUCCCUUGGAAUAGAGAAUGGUAUUUACAAACCAAGAAAUGGAUUUCAGGUGUGCCAGUUGUUUCUGGGGUGGCAUUGCUUCUAGGCCCCUUCGGUGGACAGAGCUGGGAAAGAAACUGUGUGUAUCAUAUAUAUCUGCACACGUAAGCUGUGUGUGUAUCAUAUAUAAUACAUCUGCACAUAUAAACUGUGUAUGUAUCAUAUAUAAUACAUCUGCACUUAUAAACUGUGUAUGUAUCAUAUAUUAAUACAUCUGCACAUAUAAACUAUCAUAUCUGCACAUAUAAACUAUCAUAUCUGCACAUAUAAACUAUCAUAUAUCUGCACAUAUAAACUGUAUCAUAUAUAAUACAUCUGCACAUAUAAACUGUAUCAUAAUACAUCUGCACAUAUAAACUGUCAUGUAUAUCUGCACAUAUAAACUGUAUCAUAUAUAUUUGCACAUAUAAACUGUGUGUAUCAUAUAAUACAUCUGCACAUAUAAACUAUCAUAUAUAAUACAUCUGCACAUAGAAACUGUGUAUCAUAUAUCUGCACAUAUAAGCUGUGUGUGUAUCAUAUAUAUCUGCACAUAUAAACUGUGUGUAUCAUAUAUAAUACAUCUGCACAUAUAAAUGUGUGUAUCAUAUAUAUCCACACAUAUAAACUGUGUGUGUAUCAUAUAUCUACACAUAUAAACUGUGUGUAUCAUAUAUAAUACAUCUGCACAUAUAAACUGUGUGUAUCAUAUAUAUCCGCACAUAUAAACUGUGUGUGUAUCAUAUAUAUCUGCACAUAUAAACUGUGUGUGUAUCAUAUAUAAUACAUCUGCACACAUGCUUCUCUGUAUUGAAAACCAAAUUGUCACGGACCACUCCCAUUCUCACGCAGCAUUUAGGGCUGUGGCUAGCCUUUCCCAGCUGUAAGAAACCUGUCUUUCAGCAUGAUAAACACAUUUACUUAUUUGCUCAGUCCUCUAAUAUGCAGAAAGUAGUUUUAGAAUUGCCAAAACCAUACAACUUGGAAAAACAAGCAUGAUUACUUCAAGAUGUGUUUGUAGCUCCUUCUGUCCUGGCAUUGGACGUGGAGAGAAAGCACAGACUGUUCCAAGUUUCAUUUUUCCCCUUCUCUGAAACGCAGAGAGCGUUGUUUGUUUCUGUUUGUAUUUCAUUUGGGUCCUCCCUCUAGCCUUAUUCAUAAAUUUGUAAAUGAUCUUUAACAAUCUGUUAUAUUUAUGAUGUUUUACUGCGUGCUGCCUGUGAAAAUGUUUCCUUCUUCUGACACGUUCCAGAACAACUAGGCUUUUAAAUUCCAAAUAUUCCUGUUUCACAAUAAACCAGAUGAGGGCCUCUGUUGUGCCACAGCUUUUGGAAUGUGGUUUAUUACCAAUAGAAGUGGCUGCGUGGCUUGUUAUGGUUUCAAUUACACGUGAGUAACAACCGGGGCCCUUCUGUGUCAGGUGCUGCUGAUCAAGGCUGGCUAAUGGGGACCUCGCUGUCCAGAACGGGCGUUUCCCAUGGCCCGGCCCAGCUGUUUACCACUUCUGUCUACCAUUUCAGAGGGGCUUUGCGGAGAUUAAAUGAGGUGAAGCGCUCUGAGAACCUCAGUCCUAAAGAAUAGCAGUUAUACUGGUUUUUGUAUUAUAUUUAUAUAUUCUUCUUGUUAAUAUACUGGUUUUAAUGUUCAUCGUUCUCUUGGGAUCCCAUGACAGUGAGCCUGGUGUACCUGAGGUCUGGGAUACUCACACCUCUCCCCAGUCCCAUGCUCCCCACUGUGGCAGUGCCUGUCAGGGACCCUGCUGACCCCAGGAAGCCUCGGUGUCCCCAGCGCUGGCUCUGCUCACACAGGCAGCAGGCUUAGUGUUCUCUGGCCUGGCUGCACUGACUGGACCAGGGACAGGGGAAGGGCCCCAAAGCACCCUGUUCCAGGCAGCCGGCCAGUCGUGGCCGAGGAGCUCCAUUCAACAGUGGCACCCAGAGGGGCCAGGGUCUCAUAAAGCUGGUCAGACGCCCCCUCUGGGUAGGGGUGUAGGAAGCGGCUGUGCAGCCGGGUCCCAGGUAGGGAGGCAUAGAGUGAAGGCUGUGAGCAGGAGCCCUGGGGCGGAGGGCCAGGAGAAGGCUGGGCACAGGUCCAUCGGUGGCAGCUGGGUGGGCAGAGCAGAGAGGCUGCAUCUGCACGACGGCAGGGCCCUGGUGUGGGAACAGCAGACGGGGCCCCUGGGUGCGGCGCCUCCUUCCCACAUCCCUGCUGCUCCUGCAUCUGCUGCUGGAGAAGACCACGACGUGCUCAGACCCCGGCACUGGAGAACUCCAGAUGUGGUGAGGGCUGCACGUUAGCUGCAUACGCACAUCUGGAAGGUGAGGCAGACGUGCCCACCGCCUCCAUGCCUGGCCCACAGUUGUGGGCAUGCAGAGCUCCUCUGUGGCAGGCCCAGGCUGCACCAGCUGCCUGGAGAGGCACUGGGGGCGGGGCCUCACUUGAGGGGCAGAUUCUCCCACCCAGCCAGUCCAGGCCCAGCGGCUGGAGCAUCCCGUCCAGCAAAUUGUCCUGCAAGUUGCCCUGGAGACCCAGCGUCUCUCAUCACGUCUCACUCCCCUGCCAGAUGCCUCUGCGGCAAUAACGAGAGUGGCUCUGCCUUCUGCACUGAAUGCCGACAGGUGACCAGAACAUGACACUGGGGUUAUGCAGUGCCCUGGUUGAUAUUCUAGUUCAUCAGGGAGCUUCUGGAAUGAUUUUUUUUUUCUUUUUUUUUUUUUUUUGAGACAGAGUCUCUCUCUGUCGCCCAGGCUGGAGUGCAAUGGAGCAAUCUUGGCUCACCACAACCUCUGCCUCCGGGGUUCAAGUGAUUCUCCUGUCUGAGCCUCCUGAGUAGCUGGGAUUACAGGUGUCCACCACUAUCACUCAGUUAAUUUUUAUAUUUUUAGUAGAGAUGGGGUUUCACCAUGUUGCCUGGGCUGGUCUCAAACUCCUGACCUCAGGUGAUCUGCCUCCUCAGCCUCCCAAAGUGCUGGGAUUACAGGCAUGAGCCACCUCACCCAGCCAACUUUCUUUUGCUUCACUUUUCCUCUGGUUGCCCCAUCUUUAUUGUCAAGUCCUGUUAAGAGGAACAACAUUAAAAUGAGAGCUUUCAUGGCAAAAAGGUUGCUGUGGGUUGAGCUUGCAAUGUUAGCUGCGUGUUAGGAUUCAGCUGACAUCUGUCUCUGGAGUCUCGCCCUUUCUGUAAUUCGCUUUUGACUGUAAUAAAUGUUGUACAGUGAAUGUGUGGGUGGGGCCUCUGAGUUACAUCGGCUCAAGGCCUCUUUUAAGGAGGACCCAAAUAAGAGUGGGGAUUGAUGUAUUUGACUGGGAACCCACUCAGGGCCACCAUGCAGUGAAGCUCCGGAGCAGGGGUGUAGACGCCCUGCUUGAAGCGUUGAGAAGCCCCACAGUACAAGUGUGCAGAAGUCAAGCUCCUCCUGCUGGAGCAGGGACAGGGCAAUAGGGAAAGGCUUUUCCAGAGGCAGGGUCAUUGGGACUGGCUCUUCCGGGAGGAGCUGAGGGCACACGCUGGGCAGAGCUGACCUCUGUGUGCGGAUCGCCUGGGAUGGCGCCUCCGGUGGCCUCACGAUAAAGCACCUCAGAGGCAGGAGAUGAACUUGAGACCUGACCGUGAAGGAGUGAGGAGUGAAGUCCUCUUCUCAACAGAAGGAAACCAUCAAAGAGGUUACAUAAUCAAAACUGUGUUGUCAAAAUAUUGCUGGACAGAGAUGGCGGCUGGUCCGGCACGUGGGAAUGUUGGUGACAAGAGGUCAGUUCGGUGGCUCUUGGACCUCCCAGGCCAGGAGGGAAGCGCCCAGGCCAAGGUGGGAGCCUGAGAAUAGAGAUUUCAAGAGACGCUUCUAAUGAAUGCUCAUCAGAAUGUUAUUAUUAUUUUAUUUUAUUAUUUUAUUGGGACUGGAUUGACUUGCAUUUCCUUCACUAAUCAGAAGUUUGAGGGCAAAGAUAAAUCUCAAAUAAUCACCUUGCAUUUCUGAUGAGUUAAAUGAGUGUGUUUUAUGCCCUGGUUGUAUGAGCUUGCUUUUCCACAAAUAAGAGUGGAAAUUUUAUUUUAUUAUUAUUUUGUAUUAUUAUUUUAUUUUAUUUUU
rnacentral:lncRNA from 1 species